UUUACCCUGGGGUGUUCGUGAUUCAGGAUUGAAGUCCCUGAGCCGAUAAGCAAUACAAAAGGGUUAGUACUUGGUAGCUAUUGAGCAGGCUCGGCUUGUACCGAGAAGCCUACGGUUAUCAUUGCCAAUCCGCCUUGAACCAGCUGGUUCAAGGGUCCAAAUCCUAAACGGCACCUUGGGGUUCCC
rnacentral:other from 2 species